rnacentral:rRNA from 1 species
AACGAACGCUGGCGGCAUGCCUAACACAUGCAAGUCGAACGAUGGCUUCGGCCAUAGUGGCGCACGGGUGAGUAACACGUGGGAAUCUACCUGACAGUGGGGAAUAACAGAGGGAAACUUCUGCUAAUACCGCAUACGCCCCUUCGGGGGGAAAGAUUUAUCGCUGACAGAUGAGACCGCGUCCGAUUAGGUAGUUGGUGGGGUAAAGGCCUACCAAGCCUUCGAUCGGUAGCUGGUCUGAGAGGAUGAUCAGCCACACUGGGACUGGGACACGGCCCAGACUCCUACGGGAGGCAGCAGUGGGGAAUAUUGGACAAUGGGCGCAGGCCUGAUCCAGCAAUGCCGCGUGAAUGAUGAAGGCCUUAGGGUUGUAAAGUUCUUUCGGGUGGGACGAUGAUGACGGUACCACCAGAAGAAGCCCCGGCUAACUUCGUGCCAGCCGCCGCCGUAA